ensembl:lncRNA
CUGGCUUUGAGUCACACAGCAUGUUAUUAUCAGCCGAGUUGGUCCAGUUCCCUUUUCAUCAUGAAAUUACACAUGUGAGUCUGUUCUCUGUGUUUUACCUUUGAAGUCCUGAAAAAUUAACCAAGCGCCUCUGACUCUUCGCUGACAGAGGCUGUUCAGGCUUCUGUUUGGACUUAAUGUGGUCAUUACUGGACUAAUGGAUUCUUACUGGAAGCUGUCCGUGGCUUUGAUGGCAGUCUCUCCAUCAGCCUGUUACCAGAUUGAUGAGAAGCGACAAACAAGCAUGGAGCCGUCAGAGGAAGUGGCGCCGGCACUGUCGCAGGUGUGCGACCCUCCGGCUGCGUUUCAAUUAGGCCUUGCUGCUGCAGCCACUCCACCGCCCCUGCCGGACGCGGUGUUGGAGACGGAGAUCGACAGGCUUGGACCUUGGUCAGCCAGCUGCAGCAGCAGCAUCCGGGCCUCCGGACGCCAGCGCUUCCCUGGCAGCCGCUUGUUUCAUUUGGACCUCUGCAAUGUUUACGUUGAGGGAUCGUUCGGGGAACACGUGCAAAAGCUGGACUGCACUGGAAGCGGCAGCUCUAUUAUUUAGCGAGCAGAAACAAUGAGCUGCAGUUGCAUAAGGGUGCAGACAGCGGUGAUUAAUAUAGGUGAGAUUAGCUGAAUUAGCAAAUUCAGUACGAGAGCCUUUUGAGUUAAUUUAAAAAUACCUCUCUGCAGUGGGACCUCUGCACACGCUCACUCAUUCACACCAGGCCUAGUGUUUACCUGUUUAAUCAGUCAUUUUAAAACUGAAUACAUUUGUCCUACAUGGGAUAAAUGUACUGUAGGCUUUUUUCCGUUGCCCCAGUGUCAGUGAAAUGAUAUUCAGGCUUUCAAAUUGAAGGACUCGACGUAAUCAGCUCACUUCUUAGUGUGUCUCUGUUUAUUUCUCUGCAGAUUAUGAGCAAGAGGCUUCAGGGGAUUUUGGCAGCGGCAAUGAUGAUGACGAAUGUAAACAGAAACCGCAACAGAUCCACACCCAGCAGCUACUGAGGAGGACGAUGAAGCUGGAUGUGUUUGGUAGUUCUGCCCCAUCUGCUCCGCCAUCAUCCACCCAGGAAUCCGAAAUUCAUUUCCAUCUUUAAAAUGGUUCAAGCUCGCUUUCAACCAGCGGAGCAGCGUGUGCAUCUUUUAUCUUGGCUUUAUUAUUGUUUUGGAACAACUUUAUGACUUUAUGGCUAUAACAUUUAACAGUCCCAGAUGAGGCUCAUUUAGAUCUGACUUAGAUUUCUUCUUCUCUGCCUGUCUUUAUUUGCCCACUUGCCCCUUUUGUUCUGGUUUCGUCGUGUCGUCCAUGUGAAAGCGUAUCAUUGUCAGAACCUCGUCUAGGAGGUCACAGAUAUUAGCGUACUGUACAUAUGGUCAUAAAUAUGGAUUUUUUUUAAUGUUUACAGUCAAUGUCAGACUGAAAUAGCUCAUAUACGUUGGAGGUAAAUAUAUAAAUAUACAUUAAAGUCAAACUCAAACUUACUCUAUUUAGCUUUUUACCUUUCAUAAAGAAGCCCAUGUUCUACCAGGUUUGGCCUGUUUGAAAAAGAAAAAGCUUUCCUUUUCAAGCACACCUAAAGGGAAAUAACAGAAAUCAGGCUACUUUGAAAAUCGAGAUACAAAGGUUGCAGCACCAAACUGUCAAUGAAGCAUCUUGAAGAGUUGGGAGAUUUUGAUCUGUCGAAGUGUGAUGCAUGUCUGAGGCGAGUUCAGGUCUCUCUCUGGAGUCUGCUCCUCCUGAUGGAUGAGUGUUCGUGCUUUCAAGGUUUUCUGGGUUGGCAAAAACAUUUGUCUCCUUGGGUCUUAUUAUAACUAACCAGCAUGUUCUAGCUGUGAAACACUAUUACUAUUAAAAUGAUGCAUAAAUCAUUGUGUCCACAAAUGAGGAGAUAAAUGGGCACAAUGUUGGCGCUAUUUCAAUAUUAGAAUAAAACGUAUUGUUCACAUUGGCGUAAAUACUAU